rnacentral:rRNA from 1 species
CCAGACUCCUACGGGAGGCAGCAGUGGGGAAUAUUGCGCAAUGGGCGAAAGCCUGACGCAGCGACGCCGCGUGAGGGAUGAAGGUCUUCGGAUCGUAAACCUCUGUCAGGAGGGAAGAAGUGGUUAUAUGCGAAUAGUGUAUGACUUUGACGGUACCUCCAAAGGAAGCACCGGCUAACUCCGUGCCAGCAGCCGCGGUAAUACGGAGGGUGCGAGCGUUAAUCGGAAUCACUGGGCGUAAAGCGCGCGUAGGCGGCUUUUCAAGUCAGGGGUGAAAUCCCACGGCCCAACCGUGGAACUGCCUUUGAAACUGUAGAGCUUGAGUGUCGGAGAGGGUGGCGGAAUUCCAGGUGUAGGAGUGAAAUCCGUAGAUAUCUGGAGGAACACCGGUGGCGAAGGCGGCCACCUGGACGACAACUGACGCUGAGGUGCGAAAGCGUGGGUAGCAAACAGGAUUAGAUACCCGCGUA